AAGAUUUUAAGUUAAAAAAACUCUAUACCUUCAAAGUAUAAUAUAAACAUCAUAUUUAAAUCUUA
rnacentral:tRNA from 1 species